UACGUGGGGGGCAAGCGUUGUUCGGAAUUACUGGGCGUAAAGGGCUUGUAGGUGGCCAACUAAGUCAGACGUGAAAUCCCUCGGCUUAACCGGGGAACUGCGUCUGAUACUGGAUGGCUAGAGUGUGGGAGAGGGAUGCGGAAUUCCAGGUGUAGCGGUGAAAUGCGUAGAUAUCUGGAGGAACACCGGUGGCGAAGGCGGCAUCCUGGACCACGACUGACACUGAAAAGCGAAAGCCAGGGGAGCAAACGGG
rnacentral:rRNA from 1 species